rnacentral:lncRNA from 1 species
CUCAAUUUUUUUACGUUUUUUUUAGAAUUUAAAAUUAUUUCUAAGUUGUAUAUUUUUUUUUAAUUGUAAAAAAUGUCGAUUUAGUUUGGAGCAUAGUCGAGCUGUACAAAUUUCUUCUAUAAUUUUUACCUAUAAAUUCUGCCUAUGUUUAUAUGUGUGUAUAUUUUUAUGUAUGUGUGUAUGUAUAAGUGUCGUGUAUAAAUGUGUUUACGUAUGCUAGAAUGUUUGUAUAUGUCUUACAUCUAUGAGAAAAUGAUUUUCAGUUUGAGCUAAUAUAUUUCUAAAGGUUAAACACGCUUCGCGGCAAGCAGUCGAAGUUGUCACCAGUAGAUCGUAGCGCAAAUAAAAAAAAAUCUUUAUUAUCUACAAAUCCACAUGAAAUUUACUACAAAAGUACACAUGAAUAUUAACCUUUUUUUUAUGAGAAAAAUGCAGGUUACGCAUUUCCUUGUCCCGGGGAAGAGGCAGGGGGUAUGUUGGACUUCCCAUCUCCUUUCGAGAUGGUAUACGCACUAAAUCUCUCGGUGGUUGCCUACCUCCGGCGUAGCGGCGGGCUACGGGAUCAAGCGAGUAUAUAACCCACCGCAUAGCGCUGACUGCUCCCCCUUCCAUGCCUCGGUCCCCGCCGAAAAAAAGGAAAAAAGAGGGCUAGAAGGGGAGGCUCAUCCCAGGAGGAACAGGGCCAACAGCCUUAUUUCUCCUGCUUAGUCUACAGGUGUGACGAGGAGACGUAAUCACGUCGUUUCCCCGCCCUAUCCUGGGACCGUCGUGAAAGUGGGCCGAUCCAUGUUUCCCAUGGACCGACUCAACGGCCCCGGGGGCGGGCGGAGUGAGGACGUAUGGAUUUCUUACAUAGGCUCCCUGCCUCUGCCCGCCCCUUUAUCUGUGGACGGGAUUGGCAGUCGGACUCUACUCUCGAUCUCGCUCCGCCGCCUCCAUCCUCGCGAUCCGGUGCAGGUACUCUCCGAAGCAACCGUGCCCGCUGAAGACCUGCACUAGCCUAAACGUGAGGGGCCCAUGAUCUAUUUAGUCCUGGAGGACGGGGAGGAUCGCCCCGACGUUCUUCGGACCAACCCGUGCACGAGCCAAUCGCUCGUGCAACAGAUCCAAGGAUCGUUGUCGGGCCUGGAGUUCCCAGGCCGACAUGAAUAUUAACUCUUGUAUCUAAAUAACAUACAUAGUGAGAAUAUUAACUUGUGUCAAGUUAAAAACCAGAAGGAAGUAUUUUUGAAUGGCUAAAGUUUGAAAAAAAAAACGCGAAAAAUGGCCUGUAUUUACUUGAAUUUCUUGUUGUAACUGGAAAACGGAGCGUCUGACGAAAAAAUUGUACAAAACAUUUUUUGUUUAUCUUGAUGUUUUCUACAAGGUACGUUUUCAAAUAAAAAAUUUUUAUAUUUGCAUUGCAAAAUAAAAAAACUGAUUAAAGUUGUAGUUUUUUUUUAAGUAAUUGGCAAUCAAAGUAAACAUUAGUUGUUAUUAAUGAAAAUGUAAAUUAGAAAAGUUUAAGAUAUGCUUAAGGGAGGAAUGUCAUGUAAACGGCAUGUUUGGAAGAAUUUUUUUUUGAAAAAUGUAAUGCAUAGAUUGAUUUGAAAUUUAAAGACGUAACAAUUUAAAAACAUAUUUCUUUUAUUUUUAACUUUAAUUUUCAAAAAUAACGGUGCAAUGGCUUGAAAAAAUGCACCAUGCAGCAUACAGGUCACAAAACUGAUCUGAAACAGAAAAUUCAAAAUGAGUUCUUUAGUUUAUGCAAAAACGAUUAACAUGAUGUUUUUAUUUUAAAUUUAUUUAAAAUUUGCAAAUUUUCAAAAAUGGCGAAGUUUUGAAGAAAAAAAAAUUUUUUUAACUAUUGUUGUUUGCGCGUGCGUAGAGUAAACGCGAUCGCACGAAGGGAAUGCCGGGAUCCGUCCCGAUAGAGACGCAAAGUGAGUGGUCAGGAAUGCGGGAGGUUCACGGGAGGUGAUAGGAAUAAGAAGGAGGCGUUGGUGUCACUCACACUUAAUUAUUUAUUCACAAACGGACGUUCGGAGCGAGGGGCGAACCGUAUCUUUUACAAAGUAUCGGAUAUCUUGAUACGCCCUGAUAUUACGCUGCCUAAUCGACGCGGAAAUUUUGCAGAGCCUCGAGAUCGAGGCCCUCGCGAAUCCGGAAAUCUUGCGCGCGAUCCGACGGAGAUCUUGUGCGCGAGACAGAGGACGUUCACGGGAAAGAUACGGCCACCUGCGCACGGACGUAAUGCACUCACAAUAUUCACGCGAAUACAAAACUGAAGGAUUAAACAAUGUUGGUUGACGGGAGAAUUAAUUCACGCGCACUAUCACGGCGCGACUGAGAGAGAAGAAGCGGAGGUGAAUUCCCGCAGCUAGGAUCGGCGGAAGACCGGAGAGAUCUGCUGGACGAUCUACUUUCGGUGCCGGGCUGCGAGAGACUGGCGAAUUUUGCAUUGUAAAACAAUUACGAUUGGAGGCGAAAAAAGGGGCGGUAGGGAACCGAUAUUGAGACUUAUUUGGGCAUGGAUUUGGACGUGCCCUUUUUUGGGGCUUGUUUAUUUGCGUAGUUACCAAGAUGCAUAGUUACCGGCGAUGCGAGCAAACGAAAAUCGCGCGCGUGAGGAGCUAGUGACAGCGCCGCGCGACUCGGUGCAUCGAAGAAAUGAACUACAAGGAGCUCGAUGGCUGUCAGGAGCUCUCACUACUCGCGGAUAAAACAGAGCCAAUAAAAAGGAAAUGUUAAAACUCUAAAGUAAUUGUUAUAGUCUCGAACAAUUGUUAAUAACAAUGUUGUAAAUUAAAAAAUUAAAAAUUGGAACACGUUAUACUAAGGCUAAUUACUCACAGAAUAUUUAUACCAAAUUUCAUAAAGAUUAAAAGAUUAGUUUUUGCAUGGCGUGCAAAAUUUAUGUCUGUGGACUGCGUCAGUGGACUGUCUAGCACGCCACUACUAAAAAAAAGUUUGAAAAUACUGCAUAAUUUUAUGCUAAUUAUCUGCUAAUUUUUUGCUACUACCACUUCACAGGAGAUUAAGACCAAAAGUGGGGGUGCUAAAUUUAUCUGACGGUAGCACCUCCACUAAUAAAAAAAGCAUAAACAAAAAA